rnacentral:rRNA from 1 species
CCGUAACUAUAACGGUCCUAAGGUAGCGAAAUUCCUUGUCGGGUAAGUUCCGACCUGCACGAAUGGUGUAAUGAUUUGAGCGCUGUCUUGACGGGAGGCCUGGUGAAAUUGUAUUACCGGUGAAGAUACCGGUUACCUACAGUAGGACGGAAAGACCCCAUGGAGCUUUACUGUAGCUUGGUAUUGGGUUCUGGCAUUGCAUGUAUAGGAUAGUUGGGAAACUGUGAUGGUAUGGCGCUAGCUGUAUCGGAGUUGUCGGUGGAAUACCAACCAUUCAAUGUCGGAAUUCUAAUCUGUGGUUUGUAGCCACGGAAACAGUGCUAGGUGGGCAGUUUGACUGGGGCGGUCGCCUCCGAAAGAGUAACGGAGGCGUUCAAAGGUUCUCUCAGGUUGGAUGGAAAUCAACCGCAGAGUGCAAUGGCAUAAGAGAGCUUGACUGCAAGACUGACGGGUCGAGCAGGUGCGAAAGCAGGACAUAGUGAUCCGGCGAUUCCGAAUGGAAGGGUCGUCGCUCAACGGAUAAAAGCUACCCUGGGGAUAACAGGCUGAUCCUACCCGAGAGUCCAUAUCGACGGUAGGGUUUGGCACCUCGAUGUCGGCUCAUCGCAUCCUGGGGCUGGAGAAGGUCCCAAGGGUUGGGCUGUUCGCCCAUUAAAGCGGUACGUGAGCUGGGUUCAGAACGUCGUGAGACAGUUCGGUCCCUAUCCACUGUAGGCGUAAGAAUAUUGAGAAGAUCUGUCCUUAGUACGAGAGGACCGGGAUGGACAAACCUCUGAUGUACCAGUUGUCACGCCAGUGGCACAGCUGGGUAGUCACGUUUGGAACAGAUAACCGCUGAAAGCAUCUAAGCGGGAAACUGACUUCAAGAUAAGUAUUCUUUAAGACUCCUUCGAGACUAGGAGGUUGAUAGGUUGGGGGUGUAAGAGUUGUGAGACUUUUAGCUGACCAAUACUAAUAAGUCAAAGUUUUAACCUA